UUUACUGGAUGUGUGAACUUAGGGAAAUUGAGGACUGGAAUAACAUGGUUAAUAGGCCCUCGAUAAAUUGAUCUUUAUCUUUCUGAGCCUUUAUUUCGUCAUCUAUAAAAAGAAGAUAUUAACCUUUUCCUGCUUACUUUAGAGGACACUUGUGAGGAUCAAAUGGGACAAUGUAUCAGGAAGUGGCUUGUAAUAAUGCACCAAUGUACAAACAUGAAGAUUUUAUUACAUUUGUUUUUCUUCGUGGCUACAUGGUAUAGAGGAGGAAUUCGGUGAAGGGCUGAGGAUUUUAAAUUUUAAAGGAUUGACCAUAGAGAGCUGUUUAUGAUCCUAAAGAAGAAAGUGAUAUAAUUAAACACAAUCAGUGGGAUUAUCUUAUUUACACUGAGUAGAGACAAAUGCCUAAUUAUUUACUGAUUCUCUCUCUUGUCUUGCUUUUCCAGUACAACUUAUACACUAUCUCCAAACACAGAUUGAAUCAUCUCAGUUCCCUCACCUUAAUAUCCCCAUUGUUUACAUGAUAACAUCUAUAUUCCUUUGCCUGAUAGUCCAUAGCCUCCAAGAUCUGAACUAAUCUUGCCCUUCUACCUCAAUAUCCUGCUCACCUGCUGUGCAGCCUAUCCUCCAAAACUUAUUUCAUGACCCUUUAUGCUUCUGUGCCUUUGUUCAUGCUUUUUCCAUAAUCUGUAGUGCUAUUCCUCACAUCUGAGUUUUUUGGUGACAUUAUUUGAUUCCAUACGUCACCUACUUAAUAAAGCCUUUUGCCAAAGUUCAUCUUUCUUUCUGCAGUAUUUUAUUGUGUCUUUGUUAUAGCAUGUAUACAUGCAAUAAUAUAUAUAUGCAUGUAAUUAUUAAUUAAGCAAUUAUUGUUUAUGUCCCACUGGACUGUAAGCCCCUUUAGGGCAAGGAUCGUGUCUUACUUAGCAGAAAUGAACAAUGAGUUCCAUUCUCAUAAGCACCUAUUAUGUUUUUUUCUGCACAAUAAAUAUUUGUUGACUGAAUAAGUGAACAUAAAAAUGACUGAAGGCU
rnacentral:lncRNA from 1 species